GUUCGGUUCAUUCGGUUUGACGGAGGAUUCUCGGGCACGAAUUAACCGUUAACCGUGCCCUCCUUCUCGGCGUUUCGUCGGAAUUUCUUGACGUCGAGAGGUAUCAGUAAACGGCGGCAAACUGUACGGGCACCGGGAAGAAGAAAUGCUCACGAUGGAGACGGACCUGAAGGGCGGCAGCCUGCACGGUCAAAUGCCACCUCACCAAGGUGUAUCGCCAAUGGGCCAUCAUACCGGUGUUUCGCCUUACGGCAGCCUCGGCUCCAUUGUGCACAGCCCGGCGUUGUCCGGCAGCCCUCCGAGCGCCGGAGGUUUGGGCCUCGGCUUGCCGCACCACCACCAGACCCCGCAACACCAUUACGCGUCGAUGCAGGCUGCCCAGCAACAGCAACAGCAGCAGCAACAGCAGACGAUACACUCAUUGACCCAGCAAAACGCCGGCCAACAACAGCAGCAGCAUCAACACCACCCGCACCAACCCCCCCAACAACAGUCCCAAACCUCCCACCAUCAAUCCGCCAACAACAAUAACAACACGAGCAAGAACAACAACAUCGACCGCGUGAAAAGGCCGAUGAACGCGUUCAUGGUGUGGUCCCGCGGGCAACGGAGGAAGAUGGCCCAGGAGAAUCCCAAGAUGCACAACUCGGAGAUAUCGAAACGUUUGGGGGCCGAGUGGAAGUUGCUGAGCGAGACGGAGAAACGUCCCUUCAUCGACGAGGCGAAACGAUUGCGCGCCGUGCACAUGAAGGAGCACCCCGACUACAAGUACAGGCCCCGCCGCAAGACAAAAACCUUGCUCAAGAAGGACAAAUUCCCCCUGGGGGGUGGGGUGGCGGGCGUUGGCGGGAUGCUGGGUGUGGAUCAACGGCAAGUCGGGGGCAACGGUGGCCCCCAGCAGACCCAAUUGUCGCGCGACGUGUAUCAAAUGCCCAACGGUUACAUGCCCAACGGAUACAUGAUGCACGAUCCGACCGCUUACCAGCAACACGUCGCGUACGGGAGCCACAUGGGCGGCGCGGCAGCGGCAGCGGCCGCCUCGGCGGCCGGCUAUCCCAGGUACGACAUGGGCCACCACAUGGGCGGCGGUAGCCCGAGCCCGAUAAACAGCUACAUGAACGGUUACGGUGGUUACGGGAGCACCACCGUGCCGGGUGGCUCGCCCUCGCCUUAUCAUCAAGCGCAGCCGGGAUCGCAAAUGUCGAGCCACAGUCCAAGCGGUAGUAGCAUAAAAUCGGAGCCGACGAGUCCAGCGAGCGGUGGGAUUCACACGCCGACGCCUACCGGCGCGUCGUCGACGGCCGCCGCCGGUGGUCAAAUAGUUAAGCGGGAAUACAUGGGCCAACAACAGACCCAACAAACUCAGGGUGAUCUCAGGCAAAUGAUCUCCAUGUAUUUGCCUCAAGGAGUGGAGCAGGGAGUCGUCCAACAUGGCGCCGGUGUCUACUCGCCUGGACCAUCUCCCGAUCCCUUGGCGCAGCAUCAUACGGCCAUUCCACCUCUAACGCACAUGAUAGCUUAGAUUCAGAAGAGAGGACAACGUGCGCGUGGGACAACUUUGAAAGUAUGAAGAUGAUAUUCUAACGAGAGAGAGAGAGAGAGAGAG
rnacentral:misc_RNA from 1 species